GACCUAACUAAUUCCUCUCUCUUUCUGUCUCUCUGUCCUCAUUCUUGCAUGCAAUCGCAAAAUUGUUGCCAGCCUUCUCUUCUCUUACCUUUCACUUGUCUUUCAUAUUUUUAUAAAAAUUAGACCUUGUGUAUAUUCUUCUGUUUUGGAUUCGAGGAUCAAGUCUUAAUUUUCACAUGCUCAAAGAAGAAUUAAAGUGGUAUCAUCCAUCUUGGCGUGGACGGGCUAGCCAGAGAGAACUUAAAGCCUGAAGACGGUGGAAAUACUCCGCAACUGCUAGAAUACAACGUGCUUCUUGACGGGUCGUCAACAAUUGGUUCAACCUAUGGACUGUUUGGUGCCUCAGAUUAUCUGCCUAAGACGGAGGUGGCUCUAUGUGCAUCGGUUGAGAUGGAAAGAUGUUGAGCGUCGAUGUUGGAGGUCUCAUCGCCAAAUUCUCUGCCAUAAGAUGCAUAGAUAAGUCAUGUGAUGUAUAUAUGUGGAAGUGGUCAUGUUAUGUAUAUAAGUAUGUGAAUGGACUAGUUCUAAUAAGAAGGAAAUGGAGAGAGAAAAAGGGUUUAAAGAAGAGUUUGAAGUAUAUAGACUUAUGGUCUGAAAAGAGAGGAUCUGGUCAAAGCUGAAAGUAGAGUACUGAUGGCAGAAGAAAGAUUGAAAUCUGUUUGACAUGUUUUUGCUGUGACUCUCUCCCUCAACAAGGGAAUCUUCCUAAUCCACUAAAAGAAAAACCAAACCCCAAUUCCCAAAAAGGAAAUGGGAGAGAGAGAGAAAGAGCAUACGGGUUGUGUGAUGAUGAGAUAAAGGAGCAGUUGAUGGAGGAUCAUGAUGUCCUUGUCCAUCAAGAUAGAGGAAGAGUGAUGGGUCUAUCUCUCCAAGAUCAUAUCCAUCUUUGUUCCUGUAAAUAUACACACAAAGCAAAUUAAAGGUUUUAAUUAACUUGGGAUCAUCAAUUCAAAAGGUUUAUGACUUUAGGUCUAAAAGACACUUAAAUUACAUGAAGUUUCCAUUGGAAGACGUGGCCGAGGCUGAUGAUAACUGUUGAUGAUGAUUCUGGUGAUGACCUUGCAUUUGAUGAUGAUGUGGUUGAAGUCUUUGGAAGAUGUUUGAGCGAGUGUGAUAGUAACAGCAGAAAGAUGAUGAUAGAUCUCUUAUGUUGGUCUUCUCCUGAGGCAGCAAGCUUAUGAUGACGGUGGCUUCGAUCACUAGAAAGAGAGGUCGGCUAUAUUGAAGUGGAGAGGGUUCAAGACUUGAGGAUAUUGGAGAAAAUGGAGUUUGUAGAGAAGAAGCAAAAUGAUAUUUAUUUUCUUA